CUCCAGCUGAGGAAACUCACAGAGGAAGCUCAGUUUUCAUGGCCCACACAGAGGUCCCUUGAUGGGCCUAAUGUGCUCAGUGCUGCAGUGAGGCCAGAGAUUUUCUGGUAUGCUCUUUUGCCAGAUGCAGACCCUUUGCUGUGCCCCUGGAAGCUCUGGCAUUCAGAGUGUUGCUGAGGCUUUUUAAAUUGCAAAGCAAUUGGAACAUUAAAUGCAAAAGGUUGGG